rnacentral:misc_RNA from 1 species
CUAAUGCUUUUGACCUCUGAUUGAUCAUUUUCCCAAGUUCUUGUAUUAGUGAAUGAAAGCCCAAGGGGUCAAUUGAUCCACUUGAACCUUUAUUUAUUUCAUCGUCCCUAUCCAAUCCUAGAGUAAAUGGACACCAGUCCUCUUCAACUUCAACAGGUUCAUUGAGAAUGGUUGGUGGCAGACAUGAUGCUUGCUCCUCCAUUUUGGGCAAGCACAGCCUAGGAAAUCGCUUGUCCAACUCAUUUAGAAGUUGAUAACUUCCCAUUAUUAGCUCAAGUGAAGUCUCUUCCUUCAAAAUUUGGAAAAUCGCUUCACGCAUCGUGCUAGUAGGCGGUGUUCUAUUUUCUGGUAGCAAUGAAGCAGAGCGAACAGCUUCUAGAAAAGCAAGACUAUCGUCGUGGCGGUGGUGAGAAUCUCUAUUGAAACCAGAAGUAUCGAGAAUUGCCAUUGUGUUCUCUUCGAUUCCUCCAUUGUUGCUUCCUCCUCCCUUUCGCUUUUCCAUGUUGCUUCCUCCUCCCUUUCGCUUUUCCAUGUUGCUUCCUCCUCCCUUUCGCUUUUCCA